rnacentral:misc_RNA from 1 species
GAUGAAGAACGUAGCGAAAUGCGAUAAGUAGUGUGAAUUGCAGAAUUUAGUGAAUCAUCGAAUCUUUGAACGCACAUUGCGCCCGCUAGUAUUCUGGCGGGCAUGCCUGUCCGAGCGUCAUUUCAACCCUCAAGCCCCCGGGCUUGGUGUUGGGGAUCGGCGAGCCUCCGCGCCCGCCGUCCCCUAAAUCUAGUGGCGGUCUCGCUGUAGCUUCCUCUGCGUAGUAGCACACCUCGCACUGGGAAACAGCGCGGCCACGCCGUUAAACCCCCAACUUCUGAACGUUUGACCUCGGAUCAGGUAGGAAUACCCGCUGAACUUAAGCAUAUCAAUAAGCGGAGGA